rnacentral:ncRNA from 1 species
ACGGCCAGCACCUUGGCGAUGUAGGGGAUCAGCGGCAGGUUCAGGAUCAGCAGGACGAGGUUGCCAAUGAACAUCGACAUGAUCACCGCCCAGAAGAUCUGAGGUUCAUCCAGCAUAAGACGCGGGCC